UUCCCCUGUGGCUUCAUCAUCCCGGGUAAUAGAAGCUGCGUGGAAUUUCUCUUGUUUUGGAUGGAAGCAGAGCCAUCAUCAGUCCCAUUUCUAAGUCGCCAUAAUUAUUAGAAUAUUGUUUGUGCAAAAACAAAAUUAAUGAAAUCAAAGGAAGUGUGAAAUGUGACGAGAACAUGAGGGCCUUUGUGUUAAUGUUUUUUGCUCUGGCGGUUGUGGGGGCGUCUGGCUGUCUCCCGCGCUCCCUGCGCCGCCGUGAGGGCCCGGCUCCGGGGUUCUGUGGGCAGGUGGAGGGGACACCUUUUCCUCUCCGGGUUGAGGGGUCCCUCGCUGCUCUCCUCCGUGGGUGCGGCUUUUGGUGGGCCCAGGGCCUAAAGCCGAGAGCCCUGGGGACCUACUUCCACUGAAGAGAUGGGGACCUAAAAGUGUCCUUGUAGGAGCCGCGUCUGACCCUAAGGAGCGCCGCUAACGGUGUGAUGGCAGGCACGGCGACAGCCAAGCAGCGGAGGGGAGCUGUGUGGACCCCCGGGCCGCCUCCAGCCCCCCAGUCCCGCUCGUCUCUGGGGCGGGGAGGAGUGGGGCUCGGGUGUCGCGGGCGGAGGCGGGUGGGCUGCGCCCGGUUCGCGGAGCCGGCCGCGUAAUGGGGACCAGGCCCGCCUAAUGGGAAGCAGCCGCCGCGCCCCGGCCCCGCGGCGGCCGAGAUAAAACGGAAGCGCCGCGAGAGGCGCUUUGAUUCCAAUACGAAACAAAUUAUUCCUCCCGGAAUGGAACAAAAUAAGUCAGAGUGGAGUCUCACGGCCGUCAUUCCUCCCCGCAAGGUCACUACUGGCAGCCCGGGGGCCUGUGGACUCCGCGACGCUUGGCAGGGACGGUGCACCGACGACUGCUCGCCCACUGGGGCGGGGAGGUGGAGUCCCCGGCCUCUGGGCCAAAGGGAGAGGGUGUAGGGGGUGGAUGGUGGGGAGGACAGUGGCCGUAAUUCUUGCUGGGGUGACAUCUGAGGUCCUGCUUGGCUUCCUGGAACCCACUUAGGGAAGACAGACUCAUCACGUGUUGUAGGUGUGGGGUGUCUGGGACGCGCCUCCCCUCCCUGGGCUCCCUGGAGUCGACCACUGGUUCUCAAACUUGAGCACGUAUCGGAAUCCCCUGAAGGCGUUGAAGUGCUGUCCCCAACCCCAGAGUUGCUGAUUCAGUGGAUCUGAGAAUUUGCAUUUCAAUAAGGUCCCAGGUGAUGCUGAUGGUUCCACAUUUUGAAAACCACUACCCUAGGCUAUAUCUGGCAUCUCCAAGCCCUUUGUGUAGCCUCAAAGUGGUCGUGGUCUGUGUGCCCAGCCCCACCCCGUGUGCAUCCUCCGUUAGUCGCUGGUCUCUGUGUUGACGGCCUUUCCCAGGCUUCAGAAGGCAAUUUCGUCUUGCCGUCUCUGCUCCCUGGUUCUGGGGGCAGGGAACAGCUCAGGAUUGUUCAGGCUUGGGAAGAGCAGCCUCCCGACCUCCAUUCCUGCACCUAACGAGCCUCUUUUCUAGAUGGAGGUGGUGUCCCUCUCAAGUCUGGGAGAUGGAUAAGAACCUAGUCUGUGAACAUACAAGAUAGACCCCAGUGAAGUUCGGGCUUGUUGGAGCUCUUGCAAACCAGCAGUCAGGCCAAAGGACCUUCCAGGUUGGCUGCUUGAGCUGGUCAAAUGAACCAGAUCAUUUGCUUUGCCUUUUUAGCUCUGUAGCCACAACCAAAAAAAAAAAAAAAAAAAGUGCGUGUGUGAGUAAAGCAGCAAAUGUACCUUUCAUUUUAGAAACAAAAAUAUCAUUUCUGACUCAACAAUAGCCGGAUUCCUGUGAAUGAAGGGUUUGCAUAUUUUCCUGUUUUAACGGUUCUAGUAUAAACAGCCCAAGCCCAGGCCUGAUUGUCAGUAGGUCCUGAGCAGUCCAACCAGAGCGCUGGAAGUGACUCCUUCAGCCCUGAGAACCUGGGGCUGGCUCAGUGCCAGGCCCCAAGCUUCUGUUUAGCAGCAGCAAUAGGGUCAGGAGUUGAGGGAGAGGGCAAUUGCACUGAUCCCCAAGACCACAGCUAAUGCCAGAAGCAACAGCAGGAGCAACUGCAGAGGCAGUAGGAGCAGUAGCUACUGUGUAUUGAGGAUUUCUUUGUACAGGCACUAGGCUAAGAGAUGGAAUUAUUUAAAUACUUUAAAAAGCUUGAUGUGGCAGCAUUAUUAUUCCAAUUUUUAGAAUGAAGUUUAGAGAGGUUGAUCAGCUUUUCUGAGGUCACACAGCUUCUGAGGGGAAGAUCCAGGAUUCAAGUGAAGGCAUGUUUGACUUCUAACUGUUACAAGAGACUGCACACAGAAACCCAGGUCACAGACACCUCCUGUGUGCCAGAUGAGGAUACAAGGCUUGGGUCCUACAAGCAGGCCAGGGCCGCUCUUCAGACACAUUGCUGGUCCCUGCUUUCUUUCAAGACGUUUCUCCCAGCACCCCAGCUCCCCUGGUCUCCAGCAAAGGGAGAUAGUUGUCAGCAGGGGCUGGAAACUCCUCUCCCG
ensembl:lncRNA